rnacentral:rRNA from 1 species
AACGUAGGUGGCAAGCGUUUAUCCGGAAUUACUGGGCGUAAAGGGUGUGCAGGCGGGAGUGCAAGUGGUGUAUGAAAACGUCCGGCUUAACCGGGCGCUGUUAUGCCAGACUGCAGUUCUAGAGGACGAGAGAGGGGGGUGGAAUUCCGGGUGUAGUGGUGAAAUGCGCAGAUAUCAGGAGGAACACCGGUGGCGAAGGCGGGUCUCUGGGCCGAAACUGACGCUGAGGAGCGAAAGCGUGGGGAGCAAACAGG